rnacentral:rRNA from 1 species
AUUGGUAAGUUCUGCCCUGAAUGCACCCGAUCGUGUCUGAUUUUGGAAGCUAAGCAAGGUCUGGGCUGGUUAAAACUUGGAUGGGGAAUCCCUCGGAAAUCCCAGGGGUUGCCAGAU